GAUGACCGCUGGCGGCGUUCCUAAUACAUGCAAGUCGAGCGAACAUACUAGUAGCCUUCACCUCUGACGUUAGCGUCGGACGGGUGCGUAACACGUGGAUAACCUAUCUUUAAUAUUGGAAUAACUUCGUGAAACCGCAGCUAUUACCGGAUAAUAUAUUGAACCUCUUGUUUCUCUAUUCCAAGACGGUUUUGCUAUCACUUAUACAUGUCUCCGCGCCGCAUUAGCUAGUUGGUAAGGUAACGGCUUACCAAGGCAACGAUGCGUAGCCGACCUGAGAGGGUGAUCGGCCACACUGGAACUGAGACACGGUCCAGACGCCUAAGGGAGGCAGAAGGAGGGAAGGAAGCGCAGUGAGGGAAAGACGGACGAAAAAACGCAGCGGGAGUGAGAAAGGUCUACGGAUCGUAAAAAUCGCUUAAUAGGGAGGAAGGAAAGAAGAAAGAACUAUAAAAGACUAGACGAGACAUGAGCAGAAAGAAAAGGAUAACUACGUG
rnacentral:rRNA from 1 species